UGCUGCUGUUACUCCUCUGCCUCCCAGCACGGGUCCACCCUGGCUUUUUUUUCAACAUUGGGACUUUUGGACUCGGUACUUACUAAAACCACGGACUCUAUUAUAAAUAUAUAUAUAAAUAUAUACAUAAAUUUACACAGUAUGUGGAUAUACAGUAUAAAUAUAUUGAAAUCCAAGCCACUGUUUCUAUUCUACUGUUAUUCUAAGGAUUGAAAAUGAUACUGAUGCUGAAUCUGGUUGCUGACUUAUGAUAUCUGUAUUUCUGUACUUCAGUGUUACAUAAAAGAAAAAAAAAAGUUCUAAAAGAGAAACUUACUAGUGAUCGUGUGGAAAUCUGAGGCUGCUGUUCUGCUCUUCUGAUAAACAAACCUGCUUCUUGUUUUUGUUUUUUGGGUCAAACCAAGUUGUGGCUAAAAUAAAAAGCUGAAUCUACUACUUGUAUUUAGACAACCAUAGAGCUAAAGGGACUUUUAUGAUUUAUGAAUAUGAUAAUUAUUGAUAUGACUAUUAUUAUCAUGACUGUAAAUUACAUGUGAAUAUUUAGACGAUGAUGAUAUUCUUUCAUUUCUCCAACAAAUCAAUUUAUCUACAGUUUUUCUUUUUUUUUUCUUCUUAUUUAUUUGCUCUGAUGAACUCAAUAAAAUUUAAAUGGGACUUUUAUUUUUCCUAAACCUACUUUAACUUUGGCCUGGAACUGUUUUGUCGAUGCCGAUAUCAUUAUCGAAAGCAGCACACCAUGAACAGACGUUUGAUUAAACGUCUAUCAUUUUCUCUCGCGACUUCUAUUACGUUAGCCUCAGCAGAAAAUCGUUAUUUGUAUUCUUUCUCAUUGCUCAUAUAUAUAUAUUCUGUAUAAAUGUGUGAAAAGUUACGUUAAUUCUCACUAAAUGUAUGAUUUUUUUUUUUAGUUAAUAACGUUCAAUCUAGGACGCCAUCUUUACGUGAUGUCAUUUCGUGAUUGGUCAGACCUGUGACCAAUGUCCUGGCCGGGUGUGAGUGUGUUCAGUUAGGACAUUAAAAAAGACGUUCGGUUAAGUUAAACUAAAUUAACUGUUUAGUGGUAGUACAAUCUUCAUAAACCGAUAAAACACUGGUAAAGGAAGAGGACGAAAACGCGACCAGAACUGCCACCAACGAAGGAGAAGGACUUCCGGGCCGCAAGGAUACACCGACAGGCUACUGACAUUAGCUCGAAGCUAAAGACGUGAUUUCCAGAACAUUCCGCGGCCCUAACUCCAAGGAAAGGAAGGAAACGAUAAUAGGAGAUUCUGCAGCGACUCGUCUUCAAUUAUACUAACGGAAACCAGGAUAUCAAAGGUCAAGGCAGAGGUCAAAGGUCACCGCCUGGUUGACGGACGCCGGGGUUAUUCUGCAGAAGAAGAGCGUGCUGAGUCGGCAGAAGUGGAGAACCUCGUCUGACUCAGAGCGACUGGGUCUAAUCAACGCUCCAUUAAAGCCUCCGCUCUAAUGAGUGAAGAAGCAGUGACCUGCUGCAGCCCAGAUGAUAAAUGUCAGUGGAACAGAAGCUGAUGAUCCGGUGGAACCUGCUGCGGGGGAGACGGAGGACAGAGUGACCUCGCUGUCUUCACGCCCCCUGCUGAUCUUCUGGACAAUUAACAUGUGUUGAGACAGCACCGGUGUGAAGGACUUUACACGGCAAACAGCAGGUUUCAAGGACCUCACCUGGAAGACAUUCUUCUGUUCAAGUUCAGGUAACGUAGUUAUAACUCCCAUUGGUUACGUAGCUUAAUGCAGUACAUCCACUAGGGGGUAGUGUUCCACUUAUCCUCCCCCGUUUUCGGACGUCCCAAAUCUUCUGUCAGUUCUCUGUCCCUGUGACAUCACAGUUAAAGACCAAACUGUACUGUCUGUACUGCUCAACACUGCCCCCAUCAUAUCCAGUGGUAGUGCCGUGUUUCUGGUUUUGGCGUUAGCAUCCAUAACUCUUCAACUACAAGCUACAAAUAACAGAUGAAGGGUGAAUAUCU